rfam:Oryza glaberrima chromosome 5 Oglab05_0018_7, whole genome shotgun sequence.
UAUAAGGGAUUUUGAUUUUUUGCUUGCAACAUUUGACCACUCGUCUUAUUCAAAAAAUUUUGAAAUUAUUAUUUAUUUUAUUUGUGACUUACUUUAUUAUCUACCGUACUUUAAGCACAAUUUUCGUUUUUUAUAUUUGUAAAAAAAUUUGAAUAAGACGAGUGGUUAAACGUUGUAAUCAAAAACUCAAAAUCCCUUAUA